rnacentral:rRNA from 1 species
UACGUAGGUGGCAAGCGUUGUCCGGAUUUACUGGGCGUAAAGAGCGCGCAGGCGGUCGUUUAAGUCGAAUGUGAAAGCCCCCGGCUCAACUGGGGAGGGUCAUUCGAUACUGAUCGACUUGAAGGCAGGAGAGAGAAGUGGAAUUCCCGGUGUAGUGGUGAAAUGCGUAGAUAUCGGGAGGAACACCAGUGGCGAAGGCGGCAUCCUGGACCGAGAUUGACACUGAUGAGCGAAAGCCAGGGGAGCAAACGGG